UCUGAUGAUAAUAGCAAGAGUGAACCACCUGAAACCUUUCCGAACUCAGAAGUGAAGCCUCUUAGCGCCGAUGGUAGUUUGGUUUCGACCAAGUGAGAGUAGGACAUCGUCAGGC
rnacentral:rRNA from 1 species